CCUACGGGAGGCAGCAGUGGGGGAUAUUGCACAAUGGGCGAAACCCUGAUCCAGCGACGCCGCGUGAGUGAAGAAGUAUUUCGGUAUGUAAAGCUCUAUUAGCAGGGAAGAAAAUGACAGUACCUGACCAAGAAGCCCCGGCCAACGACGUGCCAGCAGCCGCGGUAAUACGUAGGGCGCAAGCGUUAUCCGGAUUUACUGGGGGUAAAGGGAGCGUAGACGGUUAUGUAAGUCUGGAGUGAAGGCUCGGGGCCCAACCCCGGGACUGCGUUGGAAACUGUGUGACUGGAGUGCAGGAGGGGCAGGCGGAAUUCCUGGUGUAGCGGUGAAAUGCGUAGAUAUCAGGAGGAACACCGGCGGCGAAGGCGGCCUGCUGGACUGAAACUGACGUUGAGGCUCGAAAGCGUGGGGAGCAAACAGGAUUAGAUACCCGGGUAGUC
rnacentral:rRNA from 1 species